AGUCAUAUGCUUGUCUAAAAGACUAAUCCAUGCAUGUCUAAGUUCAUGGGUAUGAAUCCCGAAACUGCGAAUGGCUCAUUAAAUCAGUCAUUAUUUAUUUGAACGUACUUUUAUUCGGAUAUCUGUAGUAAAUCUAGAGCUAACACGUGCGCUGAUCCCUAUCCAUUCGGAGGGACGUAUUUAUUUUUCAGGCCCGCCGGGAAUUCCAGGUUAAAGGUGACACAAAAUAACUUAAUAGAUCGCACACCUUUGUGGCGGCGACGUUUCAUUCAAAUUUCUGCCCUAUCAGCUGAAGAUGGUAGGAUAGGGGCCUACCAUGGUGUUAACGGGUAACGGGGAAUUAGGGUUCGAUUCCGGAGAGGUAGCCUGAGAGACGGCUACCACAUCCAAGGAAGGCAGCAGGCGCGAAAAUUACCCAAUCCUGACACAGGGAGGUAGUGACAAGAAAUAACAAAGCCGGGCCGUCCGGCAAGUGGAAUGAGCAGAACUUAAACUCCUCCGCAAGUAACGAUUGGAGGGAAAGCCUGGUGCCAGCAGCCGCGGUAAUACCAGCUCCAAUAGCGUAUAUUUAAGUUGUUGCAGUUAAAAAGCUCGUAGUUGAAUGUAGAAGCGACAACACCCGAUAACCUACAAGUUUCUAGCAAGUCGCUGUUUUGUCCUCAACUCUUUUGGCUUAACUGCCUUCUACUGGAGAGGACAUGUUAAUGUGAGUAAAGUAGAGUGUUUAAAGCAAGCGGUAGUUGCCUGAAUACGUUAGCAUAGAAUAGCACGAUAGCGCUCUGGCCUAUCCUGUCGGCCUUUGGGACCAGAGUACAGAUUAAGAGGAACAGUCGGGGGCAUACGUAUUCCAUAGGAAGAGGUGAAAUUCUUAGACCUUUGGAGGACGAGCAUCGGCGAAAGCAUUUGCCAAGGAUGUUUUCAUUAAUCAAGAGCGAAAGUUGGGGGAUCAAAGGCGAUUAGGUACCGUCCUAGUCCCAACCAUAAACGAUGCCGACCACAGAUCGGCGGGAGUUCGCCUCCAUGGCCCCGUCGGAACCUUGCGAGAAAUCAAAGUCUUUGGGUUCCGGGGGGAGUAUGGUUGCAAGGCUGAAACUUAAAGAAAUUGACGGGGGGGUACCUCAAGGCGUGGAGGCUGCGGCUUAAUUUGACUCAACAUGGGGAAACUUACCAGGUCCGGACAUAGGGAGGAUCGAAAGAUUGAUAGCUCUUUCACGAUUCUAUGGGUGGUGGUGCAUGGCCGUUCUUAGUUGGUGGGUUGUCCUGUCAGGUUUAUUCCGGUAACGAGCGAGAUCUCGCCUCCUAAUUAACUGCACUGAUUUAAUAGUUAUAGCUUUCUUAUAGGGACUGUUGCCUUGGAGGCACCGGAAGCAGAAGGCAAAAACAGGUCUGUGAUGCCCUUAGAUGUUCUGGGCCGCACGCGCGCUACAUUGAUGCAAACAACAUGUCCAACCUGUCGUGAAAGAGGCUGGGAAUCGAACAAAUUGCAUCGUAACGGGGAUAGAUCCUUGUAAUUCUUGAUCUUCAACGAGGAAUGCCUUGUAUGCGCGAGUCAUAAACUUGCGCUGAUUACGUCCCUGCCCUUUGUACACACCGCCCGUCGCUCCUACCGAUUGGUUGCGCUGUUGAGACGUUUGGAUGGACCUCUCGGGUGGAUACAUUCUAGAAAGGCACUAAAAUGCGUGGAACCCUCCCACCUAGAGGCAGGAAAAGUCGUAACAAGGUUUCC
rnacentral:rRNA from 1 species